GAUGAACGCUGACAGAAUGCUUAACACAUGCAAGUCAACUUGAACUUCGGUUUGGGUGGCGGACGGGUGAGUAACGCGUAAAGAACUUGCCUCACAGGUAGGGACAACAUUUGGAAACGAAUGCUAAUACCUGAUAUUAUGAUUAUAUGGCAUCGUAUAAUUAUGAAAGCUAUAUGCGCUGUGAGAGAGCUUUGCGUCCCAUUAGCUAGUUGGAGAGGUAACGGCUCACCAAGGCGAUGAUGGGUAGCCGGCCUGAGAGGGUGAUCGGCCACAAGGGGACUGAGACACGGCCCUUACUCCUACGGGAGGCAGCAGUGGGGAAUAUUGGACAAUGGACCAAGAGUCUGAUCCAGCAAUUCUGUGUGCACGAUGAAGUUUUUCGGAAUGUAAAGUGCUUUCAGUUGGGAAGAAAAAAAUGACGGUACCAACAGAAGAAGUGACGGCUAAAUACGUG
rnacentral:rRNA from 1 species